GUGGGACACAGUAUGAGCGGUGUAGGCGUUCUCGACAAGGCG
rnacentral:antisense_RNA from 1 species